rnacentral:rRNA from 1 species
AGAGUUUGAUCCUGGCUCAGAACGAACGCUGGCGGCAUGCCUAAUACAUGCAAGUCGAACGAUCACUUCGGUGGUAGUGGCGCACGGGUGCGUAACGCGUGGGAAUCUGCCCUUGGGUUCGGAAUAACAGUUGGAAACGACUGCUAAUACCGGAUGAUGACGUAAGUCCAAAGAUUUAUCGCCCAAGGAUGAGCCCGCGUAGGAUUAGCUAGUUGGUGAGGUAAAGGCUCACCGAGGCUACGAUCCUUAACUGGUCUGAGAGGAUGAUCAGCCACACUGGGACUGAGACACGGCCCAGACUCCUACGGGAGGCAGCAGAUAGGGAAUAUUGGACAAUGGGGGCAACCCUGAUCCAGCAAUGCCGUGUGAGUGAUGAAGGCCUUAGGGUUGUAAAGCUCUUUUACCCGAGAUGAUAAUGACAGUAUCGGGAGAAUAAGCUCCGGCUAACUCCGUGCCAGCAGCCGCGGUAAUACGGAGGGAGCUAGCGUUGUUCGGAAUUACUGGGCGUAAAGCGCACGUAGGCGGCGAUUUAAGUCAGAGGUGAAAGCCCGGGGCUCAACCCCGGAACUGCCUUUGAGACUGGAUUGCUAGAAUCUUGGAG